CUAACAGGAUUCCCCUAGUAACUGCGAGUGAAGCGGGAUGAGCUCAAAUUUAAAAUCUGGCGGUUCUGCCGUCCGAGUUGUAAUCUGGAGAAGCGUUUUCCGCGUCGGACCGUGUACAAGUCUCUUGGAAUAGAGUGUCGUAGAGGGUGAGAAUCCCGUCCAUGACACGGACCGCCGAUGCUUUGUGAUACGCUCUCGAAGAGUCGAGUUGUUUGGGAAUGCAGCUCAAAACGGGUGGUAAAUUCCAUCUAAAGCUAAAUAUUGGCGAGAGACCGAUAGCGAACAAGUACCGUGAGGGAAAGAUGAAAAGCACUUUGGAAAGAGAGUAAAACAGUACGUGAAAUUGUUGAAAGGGAAACGCUUGGAGUCAGUCGCGUUGUCCGGGACUCAGCCUUGCUCUCGAGCUUGGUGUACUUCCUGGUCGACGGGCCAACAUCGAUUUUGGCUGGCGGAGAAAGGUUCAGGGAAUGUGGCACCUUCGGGUGUGUUAUAGCCCUGCUCCGUAUACGCUGGCUGGGAUCGAGGACCGCAGCACGCCACCAUGGCCGGGGGUUCGCCCCACGUAACGUGCUUAGGAUGUUGGCAUAAUGGCUUUAAGCGACCCGUCUUGAAACACGGACCAAGGAGUCUAACAUGCUCGCGAGUGUUAGGGUGGAAAACCCUUGCGCGUAAUGAAAGUGAAAGUUGGGACCCUCGUCGUGGGGGGCACCGACGCCCGGCCUUGAACUUCUGUGACGGUGCCGCGGUGGAGCGCGUAUGUUGGGACCCGAAAGAUGGUGAACUAUGCCUGAAUAGGGCGAAGCCAGAGGAAACUCUGGUGGAGGCUCGUAGCGAUUCUGACGUGCAAAUCGAUCGUCAAAUUUGGGUAUAGGGGCGAAAGACUAAUCGAACCAU
rnacentral:rRNA from 1 species